rnacentral:rRNA from 1 species
UACGUAGGGUGCGAGCGUUAAUCCGAAUUACUGGGCGUAAAGCGUGCGCAGGCGGUUGUGUAAGACAGGUGUGAAAUCCCCGGGCGUUAACCUGGAACUGCGCUUGUGACUGCAUAACUCGAGUGUGGCGGAGGGGGGUGGAAUUCCACGUGUAGCAGUGAAAUGCGUAGAGAUGUGGAGGAACACCGAUGGCGAAGGCAGCCCCUGGGUCAACACUGACGCUCAUGCACGAAAGCGUGGGGAGCAAACAGGAUUAGAUACCC